GGUGGGACGGGCGCGCGCACGCGGUCCUGCCGGGCCGGGCGGGCGGGAGCGCGCGGAGCGUCCGCGGCCCUGGGGCCAAGCGGCGCUGUGGGGAGAGGUUCAUGAAUAGUAUGGUUUAUUGAAGCGGCAGAAGUGUAAGGGGGAAUGGAAAGCGAGAAUAACUGUAAGACCACUGUUAAGUCCUGAAGACAGACACAGCAGGCACUGUGCUGGGACAAUUGGUCAGUGGGGUCUUGGGCUGUGCUGUGCCUCUGCCUCUGCUGGUGGCCAGGCAGGGCAGUCCUGAGCCCCAAACUGGGAGAAGCAGUAAGCAGUCCUUGCAAUGUGCUUGCUCUAAGGCUUCCUUGUGACUGGAUAAUCUGUGGACAGCAAUGGACUCGUGUCAUGGAGCAUGAGAGCCACUUCCAGAAGCUGUGAUGAGAAAUCGUUUGUUUAUCCAAAUAUAAAUUGGAAUAAAAUACAUUAU